rnacentral:rRNA from 1 species
AGAGACAGCAGCCGCCGCGGGAAUACAGAGGGUGCGAGCGUUAAUCGGAUUUACUGGGCGUAAAGCGUGCGUAGGCGGCUUCUUAAGUCGGAUGUGAAAUCCCUGAGCUUAACUUAGGAAUUGCAUUCGAUACUGGGAAGCUAGAGUAUGGGAGAGGAUGGUAGAAUUCCAGGUGUAGCGGUGAAAUGCGUAGAGAUCUGGAGGAAUACCGAUGGCGAAGGCAGCCAUCUGGCCUAAUACUAACGCUGAGGUACGAAAGCAUGGGGAGCAAACAGGAUUAGAUACCCCCGUAGUCCCUGUCUCUUAUAC